rnacentral:tRNA from 1 species
GCCACUAUCGCAUAACUCGGUAUUGCGCCGGUCUCGAACACCGGUUUCCGCAAGGAUAUGCCGGUUCAAAUCCGGCUGGUGGCG